CAGAGGAAAGAGCUUGUGAGAACACGGUGAGAAGGCGGCCAUCCGCAAGCCAAGGAGAGACGCCUCAGAAGAGACCAAACCCUGCUGGCAACUUGAUCGUGGACGUCCAGCCUCCAGAACUGUGAGAAAAUCAAUGUGUGUUGUUUGAGCUCCCCAGUCUAUGGUAUUUUCUUAUUGCAGCCCUAGCUAAUGAAUACACUCAGGUGGUGAAAGUAUGGGACGUUGAAACAGGAAUACUGUUGUCCGAUUUUAUUGAGGCUCAUGGCAAUGCUGGAAUCCGUUGUCUGACCUUUGACUCCAGUGGAAGAGGUCUAGUUACUGGAGGCAGAGAUGGCUGUCUGAAAAUAUGGGAGCUACAACAACAGACCUUGUCUUCACACCUUGAAACAUGGUGUAUCAUAGCUGUUGGAUGGGAUAGAAGAAUAAAUGUGUACUUUUCCCUGUCUAAAUGGGAAGAGGAGAUGAAAUGCCAUCCAUAAGCAUCUCUGUGGAAAAAAGAAAUCUUUUUUUACGGCUUAGAGAUGGGAAAAGGGAUUAAGAGACAGGGGAAGAUGAAAAUGCUGACUACAACUACGUUUUAAAUCUACCUGUGGCAUUUUAUGUUCCCUGCUUGCUCUGCUGGGUGGUCCUGGAUUUCCAAAGCCUUUAAACAUGGUUCCUGGGCUGACGGCUUUUGUUUUAGCUCAUGCAUCGCUACGGGUCUUAUUACAGAGGCGAAACUAUGCAGACCAUCCGAGAAGAGCUUGUCAGCUGGCAUAUGAUUUGCUGAAACGCAAUCAUCCAAACGUCAGGAGUGGAUUGCUGUUUAUUCCCACUGGCACUCGGGGAAUUUGCUUUGACAUUUCAAAAAUCUGCAUCACGGAUGGGGUGAGGGGUAGGGCUGUAAAAUGUGCCAGCGCCUCUCUCUGAAAUUGUGAGUGUGUUGGCAGCUCAUUUUACUGCUUGUACAACAUCUCCUGUUUGGCUUUGGAUACAGGACACACCUUGUGACUUUCACCACUUCCGGAAGCCAUAGCCACACUGGCAGGAUGACGUGGUGAGCCCUGGUCCACUGUCCGACUCUCCACCCAAACAGUGACACUUGAUGGGGAUGUCCUUCACUCCUGGGGCUCACCCUUAUUCUUCUGGGCCUGCCUAGGGUGGUCACAGCAUCUCAAGAGCCUCUGCUGUGGGGGGAUUCAUGAUUGGGGUCCAGGUAGAGUAAGGAGCACUGAGCUCCAGGCAGCUGCCUCUGCUCCAGGAAGAGUGAUGGCCUUUGUUCAGGCUGGGGCAGGAGGCCGAGGAGGAAAUCCCCACAGUUCUCCUUGAGCUCAGCCUGGAGCCCUGUAGUGUAGGAAUGGCAGCCCAGGAUGUGACGCAUGUGACUUUCUUCAAAGAAGCAUCCACUUCCUCUUCUGCUUGGCAUGCAAAACUGUAUGUAUUCACUCUGCCAUCCUUGGGUGGCCAGGGAACCUAGCAGAUGACAUUCCUGCUGCCCUGUGGCUUGUUAGGGGCUCAUAACCAGGGGACUUCUUGCGAUUCUUAUUAGCCCCCAAAUUUCUACAGCUUCCCAGGGUUGAAUGAUCUCCCUCAAAACUGUCUGGAUGUCAAGCCAUGAAGACAAGCAGUAAGAAAGGAAGGUCAUUGUGCACAACCAUUUCCCACCACCUAGCCGUACCUUAUGCCUCUGUAAAUAUUCCAAAAGCCACAAGUCACUAGAAUACAAACUCAAUGAAGACAGACCUUGUCUGUUUUCUCCACUGUAUUCCCGGGAUGUAGCUCAGGGCCUGGUUUAUAGUAGCUGCCCAACUAAUACGCUUCCAUUCAACCAGCAUGUGUCAAAUGUGGGCCCAGCCUGUGCUGUUCACUGAACAUCAGUGACGAGCAAAGUGGUCAUCACACGAUCCCUGCCUUCAUGGAGUUUGCAGAUGAGUGAUUGUUUUUUUGUUUUUUUGCGGUACGCGGGCCUCUCACUGUUGCGGCCUCUCCUGUUGCGGAGCACAGGCUCCGGACGCGCAGGCUCAGUGGCCAUGGCUCACGGGCCCAGCCGCUCCACGGCAUGUGGGAUCCUCCCGGACUGGGGCACGAACCCGUGUCCCCUGCAUCGGCAGGCGGACUGUCAACCACUGCGCCACCAGGGAAGCCCUGGAUGAGUGAUUGUUGAGUGAAAGAACAGAAUUUGCAGAAAAUGUCCCCAGGAAAGCCAUGGCCAUUGCAAGGGCAGAAGUCAUGCAAGAGUCAGUGAAGUGUUAGUUCAUUCAAAUGUUUUUUCAGUCACUUAUCAAUUCUUUCAACCCCCUAUUUAUCAAGCACUGACAUAGUGCCAUCCUUAGUGGGUAGGCACAGAAAAUACAAACAUGAAUAAAAUGUGAUUCCCGGCCCAGAAUCUCACAGACUGGCAAGGAGAUAAACUAAGGAAGUAAUCAUCAUACGAUGCAACAGAUGAUAUAAUAAUGUAUUAGUUAAUGUAAUAAUGUUUUAAUAAUAAUAUAAAAUGCUGGAGAAACCCAGAGGUGGGAACUACUAACUUUUGCUCUAACACUGUACAGGAUAUUAAAAGAUUACUAGGAUUUUUCUGGGAGGCCAAGGCAGUCUAGAUGAGGGGAAAGGAGGAGAGCGUGAACCAAGUCUGAGAAGCAUGUUGUUUGGAAGGACUAUGAAUAUUUUGAGGGGCUGGAGGACCACGUACAGGAGGGAAGUGAGCUUAGAAAGCUAAUCAGAACCUGAAAGCCAUGUCAAGGCACGUAAACUUCAUUCCGCAGGCAGUGGGGCCAGGGAAGGAGAAGCCCAGACACAAGCGCUCACAGAUUUCAGAAGGAGGCAGAAGAUCGUGGGGAGGAGAGGGCCACUGACCUGCUCUUUUCCAACUGUCCUACCCACCGUCCUCCCAGCUGCUUUCAAGCAGAAGGGGCUUCUUAGGUGACCACGGAUAGGUCCUCAAGGGACUCUCUGUGGGAAGUACCUGAGGGCAAGGGAGAAAGAUCUUUACAGCCCUGGGAAAAACCAAUUCUUUUCACAAAGAAACUGUACCCCGGUGAGAAAGUUGAAAGGAUAAUGGCCAGGGACUCUUUGAACUCUGCAGCACUGGUCUCAAAAACAAAAACAUUUUCAUUUCGUUUCUUAUCUUUCUUAAGGAUCCAUAUUCCUAAAUCCUCCUUUCAAGGAGAAUAGGCAAUUCCAAUUCCUAACAGCACUUGUAAGCCACAGUGCGGGGCAGAUGGGAGCCCUGGAGGAAUUGAGUUGAGGGACUCCACACCCUGGAAUUUAGACCUGGGGCUCUUGGGAGGCCAGACCCCCUUGGCCAGUGCUUGGGUUCCAUUGUCACAUUACCAUCAAGAUUUCAGCCCCGAAGAGGGUUCCUUGUGAAUAACCUCCUUGCCAGCAUUAUGGGGAGGUAAGGAAGCUGCUAGGAGUAACACCUCCCUGGGGAAGGUGAUAAAACUGACCCAAGGAGAUGCAGCACCUCUCUGGCUGACCUGCAAGCAGACUCCUACCUGGAGGGAUGCCCCUGACCCCCAGGACUGGGCCGGGCCACCAGGUUCCGCAAGAGUCCUUAAUGGGGGGCAGCCACAGGAGGGGCCCCUCUGUCUCCUCUGUCUUAGGCAUCCAAUGAAGGGGAGCGAGCUGUGGGUGACUGGGGACUGGAUUUCUUACUCUGUCUCUCUCUGUCCCUCUCUCUCUCUCUUUCCCAGAACCACGGGCAAAAGGAGGACAUCCUCUGUGUAGCUCAAUGCCCGCCUAUUCUCCUUGCCACCUCCAGCUACGACGGGGAGAUUAUCAUUUGGAAUGUCAUCUCAGGGCACAUGCACUGCAAGCUGAAUACCCCCAGCCCCUGUAAUGGCACAGAAUAUAGAGAACGUAGGGGCAGCGCGGCCUCCACAGCCACUAUGCCCAGGCCCGCAGCCUCUGACUCCUGGCAUGUUGUCUAAAGGAAACUCAGUUCUGGACUGCUUCCCGGUUAUAAGGGAUUGGCCUAGUUUCAGGCAUAACUUGUCAGA